rnacentral:tRNA from 1 species
GUUCCUAUAGUUGAAUUACAACNAUGGUUUUUCGUAUCAUUGGUCCUGGUUAAAUUCCGGGUGGAAAUU